rfam:Triticum aestivum genome assembly, contig: Triticum_aestivum_CS42_TGACv1_scaffold_225426_3B
AUAUUACUCCCUCCGUCCGGAAAUACUUGUCAGAGAAAAGGAUGAAAACGGGUGUAUCUAAAACUAAAUUGCGCCUAGAUACAUCCAUUCCUCCGACAAGUAUUUUCGGACGGAGGGAGUACAUG